rnacentral:lncRNA from 1 species
UUUCCAACACUCAUAUCAAGUCACAUACUACACAUGUUACAUUACACAUCAUGUUAUUUCAUAUUUUAAAACCAAGUAAAACCAUAAUGUCUAUUUGAAAAAUCAAGCAGAACAUAUUGUAUUACACAUCAAACUUAUUUUCUAUGUAACAUAUUAAAUUAUUCAACGUAAUAACAUCAAUUUCACAUACUACAUUACACGCAUUAUAUUCAUGUUAAAGGCCGUGAUAGUUUUGAUCUUUUCUUGGCCAAGCUCUCACUAUGCCUCUCCCUUUGUUCCAUCCAUCUAAAGCAAGAAUCUUUUGCUACUCAUGAGCUUUUGACUUGGUCUUGGCAAUCCUUUUCUUCUUAUAGCCAAUUCUGGCUCUCUUCCUCUACAAAGUCAAGGAAGUCACCGGCCUCUAAAUCUUCACUACAUUUGGAGCUACAUUAGGCCCUUGUUUGAGCCUCAUUUUGGGGA